GAAGAGCGUGUUUAAGAACAAUAUUUGGAAAACUAACCCCUUUUAACUUGGCUGUACGAAUGUAUUGCGCUGUCAUCACCUCGGCCAUAGAGGCUCGUGUCAUUCUAGCAAUAUAGCCCAUGCCAUAAAGUACCAUCGUAAUCACCGGUAACGCGAAGUUACUAAAG
rnacentral:ncRNA from 1 species